ACGUAUGUUUGAAGGGGUUUGAUGCUGGUCUUCCCACAAAGGGGAGACAUUGUGCGCACCCCCUCACCUUCUAAUCCCACACACCUUUGUGCACCAUGGUGGUGGCAUUUCCCACCCCAUUCCCACACACCUAUCCCUGUCACAAUGCAUGUCUUGAUGGCUCCACGGAGUUAUAAUACAUAUA
rnacentral:misc_RNA from 1 species